rnacentral:rRNA from 1 species
GCUUGUCUCAAAGAUUAAGCCAUGCAUGUCUAAGUACAAGCCUCAGUAAGGUGAAACCGCGAAUGGCUCAUUAAAUCACACCUAAUCUACUGGAAAGUUACUAGUUACUUGGAUAACUGAGGUAAUUCUUGAGCUAAUACAUGCGCAAAGUCCUGACUCGCGAGGGGAGGGAUGUAUUUAUUAGAUACAAAACCAAUGCGGGUUCUGCUCGCCAUUGUGUUGAAUCAUAGUAACUUAUCGAACGCCAUAGCCUUGUGCUGGGCGUAGAUCAUUCAAAUUUCUGCCCUAUCAGCUUUCGACGGUAGUGUAGUGGACUACCGUGGCGUUAACGGGUAACGGGGAAUUAGGGUUCGAUUCCGGAGAGGGAGCCUGAGAAACGGCUACCACAUCCAAGGAAGGCAGCAGG